CGAGUCAGCCAGACAAUCGCUGUCGUGCCGCUUUCGGGUGGUGUGGUGGAGGAAAGUCCGGGCUCCAUAGGGUGGGGCGCCAGGUAACGCCUGGGGGGCGCGAGCCUACGGAAAGUGCAACAGAGAGCAGACCGCCGAUGGCUUCCCUGAAUUUCGGUUUGGGGGAGUACAGGUAAGGGUGAAAGGGUGCGGUAAGAGCGCACCGCGCGACUGGUAACAGUUCGUGGCACGGUAAACCCCGUUCGGAGCAAGACCAAAUAGGCCCUCUAUAGGUGUGACCCGCACUGAGGGCGGGUAGGUCGCUUGAGGUGUGUGGUGACACACAUCCCAGAUGAAUGAUUGUCCUCGACAGAACCCGGCUUAUCGGUUGACUCACCUA
rnacentral:RNase_P_RNA from 2 species